AAUGCUCCACACAGGUUUAAAAAACUUGAAUACGUGGCCAUCCAACUGAAUCAGUGAUGAAACACCAGCAGCUAUGGUUGAUAGGGAUAUCGGCAGUUAGCUGUAAAUUAGGUGU
rnacentral:sRNA from 12 species